rnacentral:rRNA from 2 species
UGGGCAAUCUGCCCUUCACUCUGGGACAAGCCCUGGAAACGGGGUCUAAUACCGGAUACGACCACUUCAGGCAUCUGAUGGUGGUGGAAAGCUCCGGCGGUGAAGGAUGAGCCCGCGGCCUAUCAGCUUGUUGGUGAGGUAAUGGCUCACCAAGGCGACGACGGGUAGCCGGCCUGAGAGGGCGACCGGCCACACUGGGACUGAGACACGGCCCAGACUCCUACGGGAGGCAGCAGUGGGGAAUAUUGCACAAUGGGCGAAAGCCUGAUGCAGCGACGCCGCGUGAGGGAUGACGGCCUUCGGGUUGUAAACCUCUUUCAGCAGGGAAGAAGCGAAAGUGACGGUACCUGCAGAAGAAGCGCCGGCUAACUACGUGCCAGCAGCCGCGGUAAUACGUAGGGCGCAAGCGUUGUCCGGAAUUAUUGGGCGUAAAGAGCUCGUAGGCGGCUUGUCACGUCGGAUGUGAAAGCCCGAGGCUUAACCUCGGGUCUGCAUUCGAUACGGGCAGGCUAGAGUGUGGUAGGGGAGAUCGGAAUUCCUGGUGUAGCGGUGAAAUGCGCAGAUAUCAGGAGGAACACCGGUGGCGAAGGCGGAUCUCUGGGCCAUUACUGACGCUGAGGAGCG